UGCAAGUCGCACGGUUCGGGGCAACCCUGGCAGUGGCGGACGGGUGAGUAACGCGUAGGUAUCUAUCCAUGGGUGGGGGAGAACGCUGGGAAACUGGUGCUAAUACCGCAUGACACCUGAGGGUCAAAGGCGCGAGUCGCCUGUGGAGGAGCCUGCGUCCGAUUAGCUAGUUGGUGGGGUAAUGGCCUACCAAGGCGACGAUCGGUAGCUGGUCUGAGAGGAUGAUCAGCCACAUUGGGACUGAGACACGGCCCAAACUCCUACGGGAGGCAGCAGUGGGGAAUAUUGGACAAUGGGCGAAAGCCUGAUCCAGCAAUGCCGCGUGUGUGAAGAAGGUUUUCGGAUUGUAAAGCACUUCUCGGCGGGGACGAUGAUGACGGUACCCGCAGAAGAAGCCCCGGCUAACUCUCGUGCCAGCAGCCGCGGUAAUACGAAGGGGGCUAGCGUUGCUCGGAAUGACUGGGCGUAAAGGGCGCGUAGGCGGUUUGUUUAGUCAGGCGUGAAAUUCCUGGGCUUAACCUGGGGGCUGCGCUUGAUACAGGCAGACUUGAGUGUGGAAGAGGGUCGUG
rnacentral:rRNA from 1 species